CAGUGUACAUGUUGCUUGUCUCACAGCAGGAGAUUACCACAGACUGAUAAGAUCCUGCCUGCUAUAUAUUUAGAAACUCUACCAAGAGGUCAGCCAAUGAAAAUAAAGUCAGUGAACUACUUCUGGGGGCUGUGCAUGUACCACAAAAAGUAAUCCUUAACUUUUUUUAUCAGAGUAAUCUUUAAAAUUUAUGUGUAUCUAAAUGGAAUAAAAUCUUACUCUAGUACAGAAAUAGUUUCAACAUCCAAGAUGUAUCCUUCAUUAGCUGACUGUAAAUGACACAUUUGCCCAAGAAUAUCAAAAUUUCAAAUCUAAACAGGAAGUUCUUUGAGAGCAGGAUGGAGUUAUUUCACUACAAAGAAGUUUAUUUGUAUAGCUCUUUGUUUACUAUGUGCAGUUUAUAUUUAACAUGGAAGUUUAAGAGAAAUGAAAAGAAUACAAAUGGUAUAGCACCAUAUGUGUAUAUUAAGUAUGGCACACAUGAAUGAAUUGGGACCUAGUCAACGUAUUGUAUUCAAAGAAGACUUAAUGAAUCCAGCAGUUCAAAAAGAUGUUUUGCAGUGAGACGAAUGGUGGCAAAUGAUUGCUUUGUGGCAGUUAGUGAAAAACUGUGGCAUUUUACACUGAUGGUGGCUAACAUUAACAGAAAAUUUCUCAACCAAUAGUGACAUUCAGUUGAAAGCAAUAGCAUAUCUUACGUACACUGACUAUACAUCAGAAGAUUGUUAAAAAAAAAACAUGGCAAAAAGUGGAAAAUAUUGAUAUAACAAAUGGAUAUGACAAUUAGAUCUACAAGUGUUGGUUCAAUGAUUCCUUUCUAUAAAAUCUUAUAUAAAGCUAGCUCUACCUUGCGUGCGAUAAUAAUUGUCAUAACAAACAAACAAAAAAACACUGUUUUCAUUUGAACGUACUUAUAAACUUUGAUAAUGUGACCUCAAUACAAUCGACACUGUUUAUUUUCCAAUACAGGUAAAUCCAAUAUUUGCUUUACAAUGGAUCUAUGACGGAUUAUCUUUCAACACCCCUGGACUUUUUGGACUCAACUGCCACAUUAUCAAAGCUUAUUAGUAGUUGAAUUUUCUAUAUUCUACUUUUAAAACAACAUAUCCAUUAGAUCUAUCACUUUAUUGUAAUUUACAAUGUAUGCAAGUACGGCGAUACUGGGCUUGAAAGAUAGAGUCAGAGCGCGCGCUUUGUGUGACGUCAAGAUAAAGACAAGAGUUUUCUGAUGACAGCGCGCUCGACUAUUCGAAGAACUGAUUGAAGAAUGGGGUGAAAAUAUUACCACAGAUAUUCAGACAGAAGUAAAAAAUUAAUUAGACAAACAAUGUUCCUAUAUUUGUGGAUUUCGAUAAGUCUUGCACUAAAUGGCAAUGUGUGAACCAAUUUCAAAGUCCAAAAAGGGCCAUAUUUCAGCCAAAAUAGUUAUCAGAGUUAUGUACUCUUGCUUACAGAUGACAAUCAUGAUGAUAAACAAGUUUAAAAGGAAUAUGUCAAAUAGUUUGACAAAAUGUGGACUUGUAUAAAAAAAAACAGAAUAAAUUUCCAAGUCCAAAAAGGGCUAUAAUUCAGCCAAAAUAGAAGACAGAGUUGUGUACUCUUUCCUACAGAUAGAGAUUAUUAUACUGAACAAGUGAUAAAAGUUUCAAAGCCAUAUGUCAAACACUUUACACAAAAUAUGAAAAUCAUGUAGUACGAAAAACUUAACCAAGAUUUCUAAGUCAAAAGGGGCCAUAAUUCAGCCAAAAUCCUUAACUGAGUUAUGUACUCUUGCCUAUAACUGGACAUUGUGAUGGUAAAAAGGUGCUGAAAGUUUCAAAGCUUUAUCUCAAAAGACCUUGUCAAAAUAUGAACUGGUACGAAAAACUUAACCAAGAUUUCUAAGUCAAAAAGGGCCAGCAUUCAGCCAAAAUCUUUGAUGGAGUUAUGUGCUCUUGCCUAUAACUGGCCAUGGUGAUGGUUAACAAAUGUUGGAAGUUUCAAAGCUUUAUCUCAAAAGACUUUGUCAAAAUAUGAACUGGUACGAAAAACUUAACCAAGAUUUCUAAGUUGAAAAGGGCCAUAAUUCAGCCAAAAUCCUUGAUUGAUUUACGUACUCUUGCCUAUAACUGGACAUGGUGAUGGUAAACAAGUGUUGAAAGUUUCAAAGCUUUAUCUCAAAAGACUUUGUCAAAAUAUGAACUGGUACGAAAAACUUAACCAUGAUUUCUAAGUCAAAAGGGGUCAUAAUUCAGCUAAAAUUCUUGAUGGAGUUAUGUGCUCUUGCCUAUGACUGGCCAUGGUGAUGGUAAACAAGUGUUGAAAGUUUCAAAGCUUUAUCUCAAAAGACUUUGUCAAAAUGUGGACUGGUACGAAAAACUUAACCAAGGUGUGACGCCGACGCCGUGGUGAGUAGGAUAGCUCUACUUAUUCUUCGAAUAGUCGAGCUAAAACAUAAGACGCAUUCAGCUCUUUCAAGUUGAAGGGGCAAUUUGAUCUGCAAACAGUAGUAAUAGUACUAUUCUAUAUUAUCAUAGCUACAGUUCAUAUACACAUUAUUGUGAAUGAACAAAAUUAAUUAAAUAUUUUAUUUAUGCUCAAAAACGAUAUUUACGUGAUGUCUCAAAGCCAAGGGAAGUAUUAGAAAUUGAUGUUAAAGGGAGGUAGAUAGGUAUUUGCUUUCUGAUGUUAUAUAUCUUUAAUAAGAAAUUACCA